rnacentral:rRNA from 1 species
CCUACGGGAGGCUGCAGUGGGGAAUAUUGCACAAUGGGCGCAAGCCUGAUGCAGCCAUGCCGCGUGUGUGAAGAAGGCCUUCGGGUUGUAAAGCACUUUCAGCGGGGAGGAAGGCGGUGAGGUUAAUAACCUCAUCGAUUGACGUUACCCGCAGAAGAAGCACCGGCUAACUCCGUGCCAGCAGCCGCGGUAAUACGGAGGGCGCAAGCGUUAAUCGGAAUUACUGGGCGUAAAGCGCACGCAGGCGGUCUGUCAAGUCGGAUGUGAAAUCCCCGGGCUCAACCUGGGAACUGCAUUCGAAACUGGCAGGCUAGAGUCUUGUAGAGGGGGGUAGAAUUCCAGGUGUAGCGGUGAAAUGCGUAGAGAUCUGGAGGAAUACCGGUGGCGAAGGCGGCCCCCUGGACAAAGACUGACGCUCAGGUGCGAAAGCGUGGGGAGCAAACAGGAUUAGAUACCCGUGUAGUC